UACGUAGGUGGCAAGCGUUGUCCGGAUUUAUUGGGCGUAAAGCGCGCGCAGGUGGUUCGUUGCGUCCGAGGUGAAAUCUCCCGGCUCAACUGGGGAGGGGUCUUCGGAUACGGGCGGACUUGAGGAGAGCAGAGGUAGGCGGAAUGCUGGGUGUAGUGGUGAAAUGCGUAGAUAUCCAGCGGAACACCAGUGGCGAAGGCGGCCUCUG
rnacentral:rRNA from 1 species